rnacentral:rRNA from 1 species
CCUACGGGUGGCUGCAGUGGGGAAUAUUGGACAAUGGGGGCAACCCUGAUCCAGCCAUGCCGCGUGUGUGAAGAAGGCCCUCGGGUUGUAAAGCACUUUCAGUGAGGAAGAACGCCUGGUGGUUAAUACCCAUCAGGAAAGACAUCACUCACAGAAGAAGCACCGGCUAACUCCGUGCCAGCAGCCGCGGUAAUACGGAGGGUGCGAGCGUUAAUCGGAAUUACUGGGCGUAAAGCGCGCGUAGGUGGCUUGAUAAGCCGGUUGUGAAAGCCCCGGGCUCAACCUGGGAACGGCAUCCGGAACUGUCAAGCUAGAGCGCAGGAGAGGAAGGUAGAAUUCCCGGUGUAGCGGUGAAAUGCGUAGAGAUCGGGAGGAAUACCAGUGGCGAAGGCGGCCUUCUGGACUGACACUGACACUGAGGUGCGAAAGCGUGGGUAGCAAACAGGAUUAGAUACCCUAGUAGUC